AGCAGGGUGUAGUAGCAGGGUGUAGACCACAUCAGACCACUGCCCCUCUGUGCUGUCCUUGUCAUGUCCAGCUCUGCUUCAGCUGGACUGCCUGGUUUACACCUUGUUUUCUCUGUACUGUGUUUUUCAGAUGUAAUUAUUAUUCAGUUAGAGACUGUAAUAUUGAUGCUGAUCUGUAGGAGGCAGCGUUGAAGGCGGUUGAACGGCAGAGUUGCCACGUUUUAUUAUUGUUGUUGCUUGUUUUUCCUCUACAUUCACUUGAAAGCUGUUUUAAUUUGCUUGUUUAGAAAGUAUUAUUUGUUUAUUCAGGCUUACUUUUGUUUAUGUCUCUACAAGAUGUUAGUGGAAGAGAUGGAGGUGGUCUGUGGUCAGAUCUGGCAACACUGAUCACGAUGAAUUGGAUUAGAAAUGAGCGGCUCAGGGAGACAGUUACGGUUGAGCAGUUAUGAGAUAUUGGACAAUAGGUGUUGGAGACAUGGAGGACAUUUAUGGAUGUCGUGAUGGAGACAUUUAGAUUGGUUGGUGUAACGGUGGAGGACGCAGGGGACAGGAGGAAAUGGAGACAGAUGGUUAAAAUGAAAAGUUUGUUUAACUAUAUAAUCUUUGUUCUGCUGCCCUCUACUGGUGGACAUAAGAAGUUGUCUGAUUUUAACACUCACUCAUGGUGACUCUCAGCACCAUCUUGCAUCCUCUGUUAUGAUAUUUUGCACGGAAGAUCUGUUUAGAACUUAAUUAUUCUCGUUUAACCUUAUUUUUUUAAUGCAAAAACAGACACGAAACUCAGUAGCAGUAAGAUAAUCAAAAAAUAAUAUGGAAUCUUAGGAAACUACAACUAUUGGUUGAUUUAUUUUUUUAUGAUUUAUUUUUUAAAAGAUCUCCUUAUAGACAAAGACUGCUUUUUUUCAUGCAAAAAAAUUCUAGCAAAAACCGAAGAAGAAGAAGAAGACUGUUGUUGUUGUUGUUGUUGUUGAAGGCUUUUAAAUCUGUUGAAGAAUGAACACAGCCACGUACAAACGAAGGAACCAAUUAUUUAUUCUGGAAAAAACUCAUUUCAUCUCAUCUCAUCGUUAUCAUUCUGUGUUGUCUUUAUUUGGAGCAGUGAUUUUUACAGAAUCACUUGACACUAACGUUCUCAUAUUCUUCAUGUCACUACUUGUAUUGUGGAUGGCAGCGUUUGAAAAAAUAACAGUUUUAAAAAUUUAAAAUAUAAGAGUUAACGUUAUUAGGAUUUUGUUUUUUCAAUAUUUCGUUGCUCGACCUUUCCUGCAUGCACUGCUAAUAAUACAAAACUAUUGUAUUGGUAUUUUUUCUUACUUUGUACAAAAACAUUUUUAAAAAUGUUGCGAAGAUAUGAAGUGCAGCAGGACGGUGUUACCCAGGGCUGAAUAUGGGUUGACUGAGGUGACUGUUGGAUUACUGUACAAAAGAUAGCUCUCUAAACUCAUUUGUUACAGUAUUCUAUGAUAUAUUUGAUGUGUUUUGCCCUUCACAGACUCCGGUGAUUCUUAUAUUCAUGCUGAGAAAGUUCUGUUAAGGUUCUCUCAUCAGGAUUUCAUAGGUGCAGAAAGUUGGAAAACAAGCAAAAAAAAUAUAGUCGGCUGUCAGUAAUGGAGGGGAAACAGUGUAUAAUCUGUUAAAUGACUAUAAUUUGACAGUUCUUUACUCUCCCUGUGCACACGUUUCUCUGGAUUCAUUAGUCUUAGAAAGGAAGAAUAAUUAAGAAAUGUAUAACUGACUAGUUUGGUUUAAGCUCUCUAUGUUGCAGGACAUUUGCAUGGAUUCCUAUAUUUUGUAUAAGGCAGCCAGCUCUGACAAUGGAAGAAAGAAUAGAAAUGUUUAAAGUGUAUAAUGUUUUAAGGUUUGGGCAAGUAACCUUUUCCACCUGCCUAACCCUUGAGACAAUCCUUCCACACCCCUCACACAUCAAUCUGCUAACUUGAUAUUAAAUUUAUUACCUCACAAACUGGAACCUGUUCUAAAAUUCAAGUAUAUUUAAGUUUGGAAUAUAUUAAUCCCCUGUAUUAGACUAUGUUUUUUCCUGUUAGUUUUUUCCUGCUUGUACACAGUAUUUUCAGUACCUGCACUGUACACGUGUAAAACAAAGGAGAGAAGACAUGAAAAAAAAAAAAAAAUGUGCAAAAAAGAAAAAACUGGAUCAGAGUGUAUUUGUGUGUGACGAUGGUUUUAUCCGCUUUGAUUAAACUCUAAUCAACUGGCUGCAAAAACUGAA